rnacentral:rRNA from 1 species
UACGGAGGGUGCAAGCGUUAUCCGGAUUCACUGGGUUUAAAGGGUGCGUAGGUGGGAAUGUAAGUCAGUGGUGAAAUCUCCGUGCUUAACAUGGAAACUGCCAUUGAUACUAUGUUUCUUGAAUUUUCUGGAGGUAAGCGGAAUAUGUCAUGUAGCGGUGAAAUGCUUAGAUAUGACAUAGAACACCAAUUGCGAAGGCAGCUCACUACGGGAUUAUUAACACUGAGGCACGAAAGCGUGGGGAUCAAACAGG